UCUCCGUAGGUGAACCUGCGGAGGGAUCAUUACAGAGUUCAUGCCCUACCGGGUAGAUCUCCCACCCUAUGUUAUUAUUACUUUGUUGCUUUGGCGGGCCGUUAGGCUCCGGCCCGACUACCGGCCCCGGCUGGUAAGCGCCCGCCAGAGGACCCAAAACCCUGAAUAUUAGUGUCGUCUGAGUACUAUAUAAUAGUUAAAACUUUCAACAACGGAUCUCUUGGUUCUGACAUCGAUGAAAACGCAGC
rnacentral:misc_RNA from 1 species